UACGUGGGGUGCGAGCGUUGUCCGGAAUUACUGGGCGUAAAGAGCUCGUAGGUGGUUUGUCACGUCGUCUGUGAAAUUCCGGGGCUUAACCUCGGGCGUGCAGGCGAUACGGGCAAUACUUGAGUGCUGUAGGGGAGACUGGAAUUCCUGGUGUAGCGGUGAAAUGCGCAGAUAUCAGGAGGAACACCAAUGGCGAAGGCAGGUCUCUGGGCAGUUACUGACGCUGAGGAGCGAAAGCAUAGGUAGCGAACAGGAUUAGA
rnacentral:rRNA from 1 species